rnacentral:lncRNA from 1 species
ACAUUCGGUGAAUAUCUGAUUAAGUUAUUCGUGGAAUGUUACCACAAGACAUUCUAUGAACAUACUACCAAUGUCCUAUAUUUUAAGAGAGGCCAUUUACUAUUCAAUUUGCAUUCAUUUUCAAAUUUGCUGCGCGUGUAUAUGUAUUUAGGCAAUCCAAACCACGUGACUUCUGGUUCUGGUUGGCAUGGCAUCAUGGCAUACAGGUUACAGAGGUUAUGUUUGUAAUAUCAUUUCAUUUCAUCAUUUUCACUGUUUAUCGUCAUAUUUUGGAUUCAUUUGGAUUUCGUUUGCUGUAUUUUGUGAACUUUAUAAACUUUACCACACUGCAAAGUGAUUAUUUAAGGAAAUUAUUAUUGGAGACACCAGAUGUUUGGAGAAAGAUAUUUAUUGAAGCUGAAAAUAAUUGGGGAUUUAGAUCCAUAUACAAUUCAGUCAGAAUUGGAUUUUACCAUAAAGUGCAUUCCACCAAAUUACUAUUAUAGAUAUUAUAGAUGAAAGCAUACAAAAGCCUUCAGGCACAUAAAUAUUUUACAGCUGGAUUUGUUUUUAAAGUUGGAAGUCACAAGCAACAACUUCGUAAGUACCUACAAGAAUAUUGAGGAAAUCCAGCUCCUGGAUACUACUGGGCAAACUAGAAGAUUGAAGAGGACAAAGCCUUUUGAACUAGUUUGAGUGAUAGUGAAAAGCAGAGCAUAAUGCUUGUGUGCAUGUGUAUGUUAGAAUAGUGCGGUUAGAAAAGCAGAGCAUAGUGCUUGUGUGCCUGUUAGAUUAGAUAAGAGACGCUAUGGGUAAGCUCUUCAUUUUAAGGAACAGUAGUAAUUUAGGUUAAAUUAAAAUUGCUCAUUGGUCAGAGUUACGACCAGAUUGUAAUUCUAAUGAACAAUUCAAUACAAUGAAUCGUCAUCGUAGUGAUGAUUAUGGAAAAAAUUAUAUGACAAGAUUUUGUGCAAUAAAAAUGUUUAUAUUUA